ensembl:lncRNA
AUGAGGUCCUCACUGGUUGCCAUGGUGACUACUAUAUUAAUGAGCAUGAGAGGCCAUUGCCUGGGCAUCUGGAGGAGGGAUGCUGAGCUGGAGACCCUGAUUCAUAUGAACAUAAACUGUCUCAGAUCAGUCAUAUUCCUCAUAGCCAUCUUGUUCAUUCACACUUGUAUGUAUUUCAGUAUCACACCCAAUGAGGAAAUUGCUGUUAUUUUAUUAUGUCCUUUCUGGUUCUGGCCCUGGGAUACUGUCUGUCUGUCUGCUCUUCCUACUGCAGCUGCACAGGCCUCUGCUCUUUGUAUUGUGUGUUAGGAACUACUUCCCUGCCCUUUAACACAACAGUGACUGCAGGCCCACAGCCAAGCUGACGGUGUUAGUUUCCCCAUGAUAAGGCUGGUUCUUCCUCUUUCUCCUCUUUCUCUCUGGUUGAACACACCCAUGUUUAUCAUUGUCAACAACUGUUUUAGACAGAGCUGUUGCUUACAAUAUUUCAUUAGUGAAGAUUGGACAGAUACGUUGACAUACUUUAGGGUAUGCAUAACAUCAAUUAGCCUCCUGAGAAUGUAAAUAUAGUAUGAGAAAAUCAGGAUAAUCUGAUAGAUUAAUGCACCUUUAAAAUCACAUUGUUCUUGGAUUCCGUUUUUAUGAGGAACAAGGGACGUAUGUCAUGUAUAUGUCUGUAUAACCGAUUGCAGAAAGAGGACACACUUUUCUCAAUCAAUAAGAACAUGCAGCAAUAAUGUAUUUAAAAAUAGAAUUGUUUUCCCUUAAGGGCAUGCAAGAUGAUUAAAAAGGGGCUCUCACAUUUGAGGGCAUAUUGCUCUCUCGCUACAGCUGCAGUGAGUGUGAUAGGAAAGGAAAGCUUGGGGGUGAAUGAUGACAGCAAUGCUCUGGUGUUUAGUCAUGUUCCAGAACCUGAUUUUCUGUGAAGAUCAAACGAGCCAGUGCACUUGGAAACAAACAACAAAGCAUCGCCAAGUUUCCCUUCAGAAACAAUAAGGUGCUAAAUUAGGUCCUCCCAAACCAAUUUAGCACAUAUUUUGCCUCUGUUUGAAUCAGCAGUUGCCAAUGAAUGGAUAUUACAGGACAAAAGUUUUUGUCCCAACACAGUUUUUUACUUUGGAAAAACUACACACACACACACACACACACAUAUAUAUUAUUAUUAUUAUUAUUAUUAUUGUAGGCCUACAUGGACAAAAGAGACACUGUUUUAUUUCCAAUUUUACUAAAACAUUGAAACCCUAAAAAUAUUACGCUUAUAUUGUAAAAAUAAUACUGUGCUAUUAUUAUUAUAAAUAUUAUUAUGCUAUAUGCUAUAGUAUCAUAUAGGUAUAAGAAGCAUGGGAUUAAAUUUAGCCUGCAUGGCAGUGUCAACAUAAAGUUAAUUUUGAUAUUUUGCAGCUAUCGUUUGACUUUUUGAUAUAAUAAAAUGUUUCUGUAAUCUGAAAGAAGUUCUCUGAAGUGAGGACAGUAGGACUUAACCAACAGGGUGAACAGCAUUGAAAGUAAAUUUGAGGACACAAGAAAAAAAAUAAAAAAUGAAAUGAUGACCAAUCAAAACAAUAUUGCAAAGAAAACCCUUUUUUAUUUCGGUUUGAAAGAUUUCAGUCAGAGAAAGGGAUCAAAUAAAGAUGGAAUAUGACAAAUGUUGCACCAUCUGCCAAUUGUUUACCAUCAUUAACGAACUAAUAUAAUUUACAUCUUUGUAAACUAUAAAUAUAAUUUGUAUCCAAUAAAACAAAACAUGAUGUGGACCUGAAAUUAUGCGCUGCAUAGUAGGAGCAACUAAUGUAGUGACUAACAGACGGUUCUGUACUGCCAUCUGCUGGCCUCCAAUAUAUAUAAAUAUAUAAAAGGGGAGCGAUCACGACAUAAUGAAUUUGUUUUUGAAUUCUUAAUUCUCCACAUGUGCUAAGGCUGAAGUGGUAAUAUCUGCACUAUAUAUGUUUUAAGUACAUAUAAAAAUAAUAAGUAUGCACCUUAUAGCCUGCUAAAUAAAUAUAUGCAAAUCGAUAUAUGAUUGUUUUGCGGAUUAUUAUAAAUCUUUAAAUUUAAAACAAAAAUAUGUGCAUUUGCAAAAACAUCGACGCAAAAAAAAAAAAAACACUCUGAACUUUGUGCUCCAAAACAGCGGAACUACGCUUUCGUUUCCCCGUUUCCUGUCGGAUCUCU